UGUCUUAAACAGUUAAAUAAUUUAAUUAAAAAUAUCUACCUUGAAAGUAGAAAAUGGACUUUUCUUUAACU
rnacentral:tRNA from 1 species